rnacentral:rRNA from 1 species
UACGUAGGGUGCGAGCGUUGUCCGGAAUUAUUGGGCGUAAAGGGCUCGUAGGCGGUUCGUCACGUCGGCUGUGAAAACCUGAGGCUCAACCUCAGGCCUGCAGUCGAUACGGGCGGACUUGAGUACUGCAGGGGAGACUGGAAUUCCUGGUGUAGCGGUGAAAUGCGCAGAUAUCAGGAGGAACACCGGUGGCGAAGGCGGGUCUCUGGGCAGUAACUGACGCUGAGGAGCGAAAGCGUGGGGAGCGAACAGG